rnacentral:rRNA from 1 species
UUUAAGGUCUAACCUGCCCAAUGAGGAUUUAAAUGGCCGCAGUAUUUUGACUGUGCAAAGGUAGCAUAAUUAUUAGUUUUUUAAUUGAAAGCUUGUAUGAAGGGUUGGACGAGAUGAAAUCUGUCUUUAUUUAAAUUAAAAUAUAAUUUAACUUUUAAGUAAAAAGGCUUAAAUGUUUAUAAAAGACGAGAAGACCCUAUAGAUCUUUAUUUAAUUGAAAUUUUAAUAAUUUAGGAUUAUUUUAAUUUAAAGUUUUAAUUAAAUUUUAUUGGGGUAAUAUAAAGAUUAAAUAAAUUCUUUUUAUUUAUAACAUUGAUUUAUGAAUAUAUGAUCCAUUAAUAUUGAUUAUAAGAUUAAGUUACCUUAGGGAUAACAGCGUAAUUUUUUUGGAGAGCUCAUAUCGAUAAAAAAGUUUGCGACCUCGAUGUUGGAUUAAAAAUUAGCUUGGGUGCAGAAGCUCAAGAUUUUGGUCUGUUCGACCAUUAAAUUUUUACAUGAUCUGAGUUCAGACCGGCGUAAGCCAGGUCGGUUUCUAUCUUUAUUAAAAUAAAAUAUUUUAGUACGAAAGGACCAAAUAUUUAGUAUAAUUAUAUUUAUUUUUU